rnacentral:rRNA from 1 species
GAUGAACGCUAGCUACAGGCUUAACACAUGCAAGUCGAGGGGAAACGACAUCGAAAGCUUGCUUUUGAUGGGCGUCGACCGGCGCACGGGUGAGUAACGCGUAUCCAACCUGCCCAUCACUUGGGAAUAACCUUGCGAAAGUAAGACUAAUACCCAAUGACAUCCCACGAAGACAUCUGAAUGGGAUUAAAGAUUUAUCGGUGAUGGAUGGGGAUGCGUCUGAUUAGCUUGUUGGCGGGGUAACGGCCCACCAAGGCAACGAUCAGUAGGGGUUCUGAGAGGAAGGUCCCCCACAUUGGAACUGAGACACGGUCCAAACUCCUACGGGAGGCAGCAGUGAGGAAUAUUGGGCAAGGGGCGAGAGCCUGAACCAGCCAAGUAGCGUGCAGGAUGACGGCCCUAUGGGUUGUAAACUGCUUUUAUAAGGGAAUAAAGUGGGUCUCGUGAGACUUUUUGCAUGUACCUUAUGAAUAAGGACCGGCUAAUUCCGUG